GAUGAACGCUGGCGGCGUGCCUAAUACAUGCAAGUCGAGCGAACGGACGAGAAGCUUGCUUCUCUGAUGUUAGCGGCGGACGGGUGAGUAACACGUGGAUAACCUACCUAUAAGACUGGGAUAACUUCGGGAAACCGGAGCUAAUACCGGAUAAUAUUUUGAACCGCAUGGUUCAAAAGUAAAAGACGGUCAUGCUGUCACUUAUAGAUGGAUCCGCGCUGCAUUAGCUAGUUGGUAAGGUAACGGCUUACCAAGGCAACGAUGCAUAGCCGACCUGAGAGGGUGAUAGGCCACACUGGAACUGAGACACGGUCCAGACUCCUACGGGAGGCAGCAGUAGGGAAUCUUCCGCAAUGGGCGAAAGCCUGACGGAGCAACGCCGCGUGAGUGAUGAAGGUCUUCGGAUCGUAAAACUCUGUUAUUAGGGAAGAACAUAUGUGUAAGUAACUGUGCACAUCUUGACGGUACCUAAUCAGAAAGCCACGGCUAACUACGUG
rnacentral:rRNA from 1 species